GAUGAACGCUAGCUACAGGCUUAACACAUGCAAGUCGCGGGGCAGCAUGGGGGUUGCUUGCAACUCCCGAUGGCGACCGGCGCACGGGUGAGUAACGCGUAUCCAACCUGCCCUUCACCACGGGAUAACCCGGCGAAAGUCGGACUAAUACCGUAUGUUGUCCAUUGACGGCAUCCGAUUUGGACGAAAGGCUUUGCGGUGAAGGAGGGGGAUGCGUCCGAUUAGCCAGACGGCGGGGUAACGGCCCACCGUGGCUACGAUCGGUAGGGGUUCUGAGAGGAAGGUCCCCCACACUGGAACUGAGACACGGUCCAGACUCCUACGGGAGGCAGCAGUGAGGAAUAUUGGUCAAUGGGCGUAAGCCUGAACCAGCCAAGUAGCGUGCAGGAUGACGGCCCUAUGGGUUGUAAACUGCUUUUAUGCGGGGAUAAAGUGGCCCACGUGUGGGCUUUUGCAGGUACCGCAUGAAUAAGGACCGGCUAAUUCCGUG
rnacentral:rRNA from 1 species